CAUCCCAGUUCGGAUUGCAGGCUGCAACCCGCCUGUAUGAAGUUGGAAUCGCUAGUAAUCGCGGAUCAGCAUGCCGCGGUGAAUACGUUCCCGGGCCUUGUACACACCGCCCGUCACACCAUGAGAGUCGGGAACACCCGAAGUCCGUAGCCUAACCGCAAGGAGGGCGCGGCCGAAGGUGGGUUCGAUAAUUGGGGUGAAGUCGUAACAAGGUACC
rnacentral:rRNA from 1 species